rnacentral:rRNA from 1 species
UACGGAGGAUGCGAGCGUUAUCCGGAUUUAUUGGGUUUAAAGGGUGCGUAGGCGGCGAGUUAAGUCAGCGGUAAAAGCCCGGGGCUCAACCCCGGCCCGCCGUUGAAGCUGGCUGGCUUGAGUUGGGGAAAGGCAGGCGGAAUGCGCGGUGUAGCGGUGAAAUGCAUAGAUAUCGCGCAGAACCCCGAUUGCGAAGGCAGCCUGCCGGCCCCACACUGACGCUGAGGCACGAAAGCGUGGGUAUCGAACAGG